UGCGGGCAUCAUCUCUAAAUUAUAUAACGGUCGUAAGGUACGCCGGGGAUAACAGGUCAGAUAAUAUUGGGAGUUCUAAUCCUCGGAUUGUAUCAGCACCUCCAUGUCGGCUCAUUACUCCCUUGUUAUUGAACAAGAUUCAGUUAGGAACGAUAGUUCACCGUCAGAUGUAAUACGUGAGCUGGGUUAAGAACGUCUGGAGACAGUUUGUUC
rnacentral:ncRNA from 1 species